CCUACGGGAGCCAGCAGUGAGGAAUAUUGCGCAAUGGAGGAAACUCUGACGCAGCCAUGCCGCGUGCAGGAAGACGGCCCUACGGGUUGUAAACUGCUUUUAUCAGGGAAGAAACCCCGGGACGUGUCCCGGGUUGACGGUACCUGAGGAAUAAGCACCGGCUAACUCCGUGCCAGCAGCCGCGGUAAUACGGAGGGUGCAAGCGUUAUCCGGAUUCAUUGGGUUUAAAGGGUGCGUAGGCGGGGUGGUAAGUCAGUGGUGAAAUCCUGCAGCUUAACUGUAGAAUUGCCAUUGAUACUGCCAUUCUUGAGUGCGCUUGAAGUGGGCGGAAUGUGCCGUGUAGCGGUGAAAUGCUUAGAUAUGGCACAGAACACCAAUUGCGAAGGCAGCUCACUAAGGCGAUACUGACGCUGAGGCACGAAAGCGUGGGGAUCGAAUCAGGAUUAGAUACCCUGGUAGUCCACGCCGUAAACGAUGAUCACUCGUGAUUGGCGAUAUACGGUCAGUCACCUAGCGAAAGCGUUAAGUGAUCCACCUGGGGAGUACGGCCGCAAGGCUGAAACUCAAAGGAAUUGACGG
rnacentral:rRNA from 1 species